ensembl:lncRNA
AUGGCAGACUUCUAUGAUAAAUACCUGUGGUCGCUAAGCGUAUCUCACACAAUUAUGGAAAUCAGCAUUUUGUCUGGACAGUUAUUUAAUUCACAGUCAUCAUCCUUUYCAUUAAGGAAGGAGCAUGCAACUGCAUUACUUCCACAUCAGAAAGUGCAGUCACGUAGGUUUGGCACUCCAGCUAGGUGUCCAGACAGCACUGCCUUUUUCAGGAGGAUAUCAGAUACAGAGACAGUGAAGGAACUGGAUGCAACAUCAGAAGGUAAUGAUAUAUCCAUUCUCACUGACUGCAAAUCUAUUCCAGAGGCCUGCAAAGGCCUAUUUCUCUUCCACUAG